GUUUUUGGUACAAAGUUUGUGGAUCGACUGAUUGAGUGGCCUCAAUACUGCAUAUCUUACACAUAUCACAUCUACCUGCUACGCAUUCAGGGCUUGUUGCUUUCAUCAAAAGGGCACUUGCAAGAAUUUCAUUUGGCCACUUGGACCAAUGGUUGGAGAAGUUAGAUCCAACAUGAUUUCUACUCUAAAUCAAGUCGAUUUAUUGGUUGAAGUUGCCAAAUCAUCACAUCCAGUAUGAUGCUCUUCUCCAUCUUCCUUCUGCAACUUUAAGUGGAGAUGAAAAGAUGGUGGCUUUAGGCUUAUAUGAUCAACUUCCAUCUGCUCAAGGACUUCUACAAGCACAAUUGCCAUUUCAAUGGUGUUAUUUUUGUCUUUACAGAUACCAGCAUCAAGUUUGUAUAUAUUUGUAUACAGGAACUUCCAUCAAUAACCAAGGAGAUAAUUGAAGUUUUAGAUAUAAUAUUGAAGUGGUUUGUUUUGCGAAUCUGUGAAUCCAUCACGUCUUGUCUACUUAAGGAGGACUGCAAGUGGUUUGCAUCAAGCAGUGGCAAUUUGCCUUGAACAUUGCCAUGCUGCAGGAUUAACCCCUGAUGAAACUUGGUUCAAGACCAUUGUCUUGGCUGGAGGCACUGCAUGUUUACCUGGAGUAGUAGAAAGAUUAGAGAAGGAAUUGCAUGCUCUUCUUCCUCCAUCCAUAUCCAAUGGAAUUCGAGUUAUUCCACCUCCACAUGGUGCAGAUUCUGCAUGGCAUGGGAAAAAGCUUCUCAAUGUACCCAACAGGA